CCUACGGGUGGCUGCAGUGGGGAAUAUUGGACAAUGGGCGAAAGCCUGAUCCAGCCAUGCCGCGUGUGUGAAGAAGGCCUUCGGGUUGUAAAGCACUUUCAGUGGGGAAGAAAGCCUUGGGGCUAAUACCCUCGAGGAAGGACAUCACCCACAGAAGAAGCACCGACUAACUCCGUGCCAGCAGCCGCGGUAAUACGGAGGGUGCGAGCGUUAAUCGGAAUUACUGGGCGUAAAGCGCGCGUAGGCGGUCUGAUAAGCCGGUUGUGAAAGCCCCGGGCUCAACCUGGGAACGGCAUCCGGAACUGUCAGGCUAGAGUGCAGGAGAGGAAGGUAGAAUUCCCGGUGUAGCGGUGAAAUGCGUAGAGAUCGGGAGGAAUACCAGUGGCGAAGGCGGCCUUCUGGACUGACACUGACGCUGAGGUGCGAAAGCGUGGGUAGCAAACAGGAUUAGAUACCCCGGUAGUC
rnacentral:rRNA from 1 species